rnacentral:lncRNA from 1 species
AAUUCUAUAGAUAAAUAUAUGUGCAGAAUUUCAUUCAUAAAUUUAAAGUAAAAACAGCUGAUUGUGUUUUCAUUCAUUCAGUGAUAAAUGAACUAUAAACAUUAAGGUUAUGUGAAAUCUAAGGAUGGAGGUGUGUAGUGACAUUAAUAUAAACAGUUACAUCCGCUGAUAAUUGAUACUGUGACAGUUUCUAUGUAUCUAUCAUUUCGACCACACACAGGUUCAUUAUCUGCACAUAGUUUAAUAAGGCUUUUAUUA